rnacentral:rRNA from 1 species
UACGUAGGGUGCGAGCGUUGUCCGGAAUUAUUGGGCGUAAAGGGCUCGUAGGCGGUUUGUCGCGUCGGGAGUGAAAUCCACUGGCUUAACUGGUGGCUUGCUUUCGAUACGGGCAGACUGGAGGCAUGCAGGGGAGAACGGAAUUCCUGGUGUAGCGGUGAAAUGCGCAGAUAUCAGGAGGAACACCGGUGGCGAAGGCGGUUCUCUGGGCAUGUCCUGACGCUGAGGAGCGAAAAUGUGGGGGAGCGAACAGG